rnacentral:rRNA from 1 species
CAACUACGUGCCAGCAGCCGCGGUAAGACGUAGGGCGCGAGCGUUGUCCGGAUUUAUUGGGCGUAAAGAGCUCGUAGGCGGCUUGUUGCGUCGUCCGUGAAAACCUGGGGCUCAACUCCAGGCUUGCGGUCGAUACGGGCAGGCUAGAGUUCGGUAGGGGAGACUGGAAUUCCUGGUGUAGCGGUGAAAUGCGCAGAUAUCAGGAGGAACACCGGUGGCGAAGGCGGGUCUCUGGGCCGAUACUGACGCUGAGGAGCGAAAGCGUGGGGAGCGAACAGGAUUAGAUACCCCGGUAGUCCACGCUGUAAACGUUGGGCGCUAGGUGUGGGGGGCCUCUCCGGUUUCCUGCGCCGUAGCUAACGCAUUAAGCGCCCCGCCUGGGGAGUACGGCCGCAAGGCUAAAACUCAAAGGAAUUGACGGGGGCCCGCACAAGCGGCGGAGCAUGCGGAUUAAUUCGAUGCGACGCGAAGAACCUUACCUGGGUUUGACAUGGCCGUUAAAGCCGUAGAGAUACGGUGUCCUUCGGGGGCGGU